ACUGGAUAACCUACCUAUAAGACUGGGAUAACUUCGGGAAACCGGAGCUAAUACCGGAUAAUAUAUUGAACCGCAUGGUUCAAUAGUGAAAGACGGUUUUGCUGUCACUUAUAGAUGGAUCCGCGCCGCAUUAGCUAGUUGGUAAGGUAACGGCUUACCAAGGCAACGAUGCGUAGCCGACCUGAGAGGGUGAUCGGCCACACUGGAACUGAGACACGGUCCAG
rnacentral:rRNA from 1 species